AGAUGGAGUGAUUUCUCAUGUAGUGUUACAGUAAUGACCAACGUGACACAGAAGGAAAAUUCUGUGACAAUAUGGGAAAUUUGAGGCCAACGUUUUUGCUGCAUAAUGAAAUUCAUGCAAGAAAAUUUUUCAUAGUGCCCGCCAGCAGCAGCCUGCAAAGCGAUCGUGGUUUUCCUGCUGACUACGAAGGAGCUGGGACUGAGCCUUGGAAGAAGACACCCGGACUGCGGUACCUCCGAUGGGUUUGCAGCCCAAGAGGCACCCCAUGCACACGUAUGGCAGCAGAGCCUUGUGCCUCGUGCUGGAUUUGAAGCACUGAGAGCUGCCAGUGACUUUUCCAGGUCGGGGCCCCCAGGCAUCCGCAUGGAGAACUGCAGUAGCGGGACUGACACGGCUCAGGGACCAUGCGAGGAGACAGAUGCGAGAAAUAGAGAAGAAAAAGCGAUGCCACCUUAUUUUUGCGCAUCUCCUUUGCUUCAGACGGAGGGCUACGCAGCUCAGCAGGCCAACAUACCUCCUACAAAGAAAAUCCUAAGGAUACGUUGGCUCCUGGACGAUCCCAUUGCUCCCUUCCAGCCCUGACCUCCACAGUGCCCCGCUGCCGCCGGGAUGGACCAGGUUCUUCUCAAACAAGUCACCUGCGAACGUGCCAGAAGAAAAGUCA